rnacentral:rRNA from 1 species
AGAGUUUGAUCCUGGCUCAGGACGAACGCUGGCGGCGUGCCUAAUACAUGCAAGUUGAACGAUGAUUUCUGGUACUUGUAUUAGGAUGAAGAGUAGCGAACGGGUGAGUAACGCGUGGGUAACCUACCUCUUAGCGGGGGACAACUAUUGGAAACGAUAGCUAAUACCGCAUAACAAUAUUAAACACAUGUUUAAUAUUUGAAAGUACCAAUUGGUACACUAGGAGAUGGACCCGCGUUGUAUUAGCUAGUUGGUAGUGUAAUGGACUACCAAGGCGAUGAUACAUAGCCGACCUGAGAGGGUGAUCGGCCACAUUGGGACUGAGACACGGCCCAAACUCCUACGGGAGGCAGCAGUAGGGAAUCUUCGGCAAUGGACGAAAGUCUGACCGAGCAACGCCGCGUGAGUGAAGAAGGUUUUCGGAUCGUAAAACUCUGUUGUUAGAGAAGAACGUUGUGUAGAGUGGAAAAUUACACAAGUGACGGUAUCUAACCAGAAAGGGACGGCUAACUACGUGCCAGCAGCCGCGGUAAUACGUAGGUCCCGAGCGUUGUCCGGAUUUAUUGGGCGUAAAGCGAGCGCAGGUGGUUUAAUAAGUCUGAUGUAAAAGGCAGUGGCUCAACCAUUGUGUGCAUUGGAAACUGUUAGACUUGAGUGCAGUAGAGGAGAGUGGAAUUCCAUGUGUAGCGGUGAAAUGCGUAGAUAUAUGGAGGAACACCGGUGGCGAAAGCGGCUCUCUGGACUGUAACUGACACUGAGGCUCGAAAGCGUGGGUAGCAAACAGGAUUAGAUACCCUGGUAGUCCACGCCGUAAACGAUGAGUGCUAGUUGUUUGGGGCUAUCCAGCCCUAAGUGACGCAGCAAACGCAUUAAGCACUCCGCCUGGGGAGUACGACCGCAAGGUUGAAACUCAAAGGAAUUGACGGGGGCCCGCACAAGCGGUGGAGCAUGUGGUUUAAUUCGAAGCAACGCGAAGAACCUUACCAGGUCUUGACAUACCAGUGCUAUUCUUAGAAGAUAAGAAGUUACUUCGGUACACUGCAUACAGUGAUGCAUGAUUGUCGUCAGCUCGUGUCGUGGAGAUGUUGGGUUAAGUUCCCGCAACGGAGCGC